rnacentral:lncRNA from 1 species
AGCUAACCAACCAAACCCAAAGUUGUUGGAAAAACUGAGAAUUGACAUACUGUAAAAGAGAGGUAAUAAAUAACCAACGUUAUUACACUACACUUUAAGGAUACGUCAAGACACAAAGCAGUUGGAAUAAGUUGGCCUACAACUCUGGAGCUGAAAACGAUGCUAACGAACUAACUAACGUGCAGCCUAGCUUAAUUAGCGCACACCUGUGAGCUCUGCUUCUCCGAGCUGGGAGCUCUGGCUAAAGAAGAGGACAAUUAGCGAGAUGACUCACAUCCGGUCAGUGACUUGGAAUUUAAUAUAGCCAUGCCAUCAACGAGGAAAUACGAGGACAUACCUGCUUUAAGGUGGACGGCCUGUUUGGCACUUCAAACCGCAGCACCCCUGCAUCUCGUCUGUUAACAGUUAAUGAUCUGUUAACAAGGGUCGGCGGUCGGUCAGGAAAACAAUCUUAGAUCUCUAAAUGGCCAUGACCUGGCCUUACCGUCUCAUGCAAAACCUUUGUGGACAUAAAGCUAUCGACAAAUAUGGUGGAAGAAGCAUCUGUGCAAGAAUCGUC